GAGAAGAGGUGGGGCAAGCGGAGCUUUAAAAAGAAGAGAGGAGCCUGUCCAAGUUUGUAUGUAAAAAGCAACUGCGUUUUGGAGAAGCUCGGUACCUGGAGAUCUCACUCCCUGUACUCCACUGAGGGUUGUGCUGAACAGUUUUCCAAAUUCUCUGCUUUUAAGAUUUUAAGCAGAAGCUUUACUGGUUGCGGGGAAAUUCACAGUGAUCCUUGUGAACUUGCUUUUAAGCUGUGUUAAAUUUGUGGCAAGAGUGUCAGGCAUUUCAUACUUGGCUUCCAAAAAAGAAAAAAAAGGAAAGAAAAGGAACGAAAGAGAGUGAGAGAGAAAACCCAGCGUCUGUGGGGAAGAAAUCUCCCAGGAAUUUCUUCAAGGUUGUAGUCAGACACAGUAAGGGCUAAAGUGACAAGAAACGCAAGGCAAAGAUAAAACUUGGUGUUGUGAUAAGAUGUCUGAGUGUAAAGCAGGAGAUUGCAGAAACCUUUUGGGAUUACACAUGCUCAUCUUGUCCUGGAUAUGACUGAAUACAAGCUAGUUUUUCUCUAGUGACAGUUCAAAUAACCCUCAAGAUUAUGUUUCUCUUCGUUGUUGCUUUUUUGCCAGUGAUUUUUAAAAUUGGUUUUGUCAGCCUCUCAACUCUGCAGCACCGGAACUGUCCUAAUGGAUACAGAUUAAAGACUGAAAACUCUGCUUGUAUAGAUAUUGAUGAAUGCCUUGAAGGUGGUUUGGGAACCUGCGGCCAAACCUGUGUCAACGUUCCAGGGUCCUACGUCUGCUCCUGUUUGCCCGGCUACACUUUGGAUAUUGACAAACGAUCUUGCUAUGUGAACGACCCUGCACCAUUCCUACUUUUUAGCCAUGGAAAUGCCAUCUUUAGAAUUGACACUGAAGGGACCAAUCAUGAAAGACUGGUGGCUGAUACCGGUCACUCAACACUUAUGGACUUUCAUUAUACAGAAGAGAAAGUGUAUUGGGUAGACUCUGAAAGGCGACUACUUCAAAGAAUGAACCUGAAUGGCUCAAAACGAGAGAGACUAAGUUACAUAGACAAAGGCAUUUCAGGAUUUGCUAUUGACUGGAUAAAUCAAGACAUUCUCUGGGCCAAUAGACAGAAAGCAACAAUAGAAGCGACAGACAUGAAUGGGAAGAAACGCCGAGUUAUUCUAAGAGAUGUUGGUCAUCCCAUGAGGAUUACCAUUGAUGCUGAGCAAAGGCUGUUAUUUUGGUCUUCAGAAGGUACAGUUUCCAACAUACACCGAGUGUCCCUCAUUGGAAGUAUUGUGAGAACUCUUUUAAGAACUACAGAAAAAAUAAAGGCUAUUUCACUAGAUUUGGUUGACACAAGGCUCUACUGGAUCCAACACGACCACAGGAAAGAGAUUUCCCAUAUUGGAUCAUGCAACUAUGAUGGUGGAGCUGUUCGCUUGCUUAAAAAUUCUGUCCGACAUCAAUUGCUUGGUAUGUCUGUCUUUGCUGAGCACCUGUACUAUUCAGAGUUGAAAUCUGGUAUGAUAUGGAGAGCCAACAAGUACACUGGAAAAGUUGCAGUCACAAUUAGUCUGAAUCCAUCAUUUUUUCCACCAGUGGAGAUAAAAGUUGUGCAUCCCUUUAAACAGCCAGGUGCAAGAACAGAACCACAGGAUUUUGAAAAAGAAACCUGUGAUCUGAACAAAGAAAAGUGCAGAAGAAGAAUCUGCAGGCCAGACUCAAGGAGUCAUCGGUGUAGAUGUUCUAAUGGCUUUAUUUUAAGUCGAAAUAAACAGUUUUGUGAAGAUAUCAAUGAAUGUGGCUUCUGGAAUCAUGGCUGUACUUUGGGCUGUGUGAACAUUCCUGGUUCCUAUUAUUGCACCUGCCCAAGAGGUUUUGUUCUGCUGCCCGAUAGGAAAACAUGUCAUGAGCUAAUUUCUUGUGCAAGUAACAACACUGAAUGUAGCCAUGGUUGCCUUCAAACAUCUAAAGGGCCUGUUUGCUUUUGUCCUGAAGGAUCUGUACUGAAAGAGGAUGGCAAAGCUUGCACAGGUUGUACAUCUCCAGAUAAUGGUGGUUGUAGUCAGAUAUGCUCUUCUUUAAGCCCAUCGUCCUGGGAGUGUGCUUGUUUUCCUGGAUACAAGCUUCAGCGAGACAGAAAGCACUGCACUGCUAUAGGUCCUAAGCCAUUUUUGUUAUUUGCAAAUAGCCAAGAUAUCCGCCAGAUCAGUUUUGAUGGUGCAGAUUAUGUAAGUUUACUUGACUGGCAGAUGGGAAUAGUCUUAGCACUGGACUUUGACCCAGUGGAAAAUAAGAUUUACUUUGCCCACACUGCCUUGAAAUGGAUAGAACGAGCUGAUCUGGAUGGCUCAAAUCGUGAAAAAGUUAUUCAUGAAGCUAUAGAUAUACCCGAAGGCCUUGCUGUGGACUGGAUUAACCGUAAAUUGUAUUGGACAGACAGAGGGAAGGCAUGCCUUGAAAGGAGCAAUCUGAAUGGAAUGCACAGAAAAAUGAUCAUCUGGAAGGAUAUCUCCCAGCCACGAGGGAUUGCCAUUCACCCAUUUGCACAGAGAUUAUUCUGGACUGACAUGGGGGUCAAUCCCCGGAUUGAGAGCUCUUCAUUAGAAGGCAUCGAUCGCCAGGUUAUAGCCAGCACAGGCCUGGUGUGGCCCAGUGGAAUAGCCCUCGACUACUUAGCCGAUAAGGUUUACUGGUGUGAUGCUAAGCAGUCGGUGGUUGAGAGUGCAAACCUGGAUGGCUCUGGUCGUCGAAUUCUUGCACAGAAUGAUGUAGGCCACCCUUUUGAUGUAGCAGUGUUUGAGGAUCACCUUUGGUUUUCUGACUGGGCUAGGCCAUCACUAAUGAGAGUGGACAAGAAGACCGGCCAAAAUAGGGUACGUCUUCGAGGCAGCAUGCUGAGACCUUCAUCAAUGGUUGUAGUUCAUCCUUUGGCGAAACCAGGGGCAAAUCCUUGCCUUUAUGAGAAUGGAGGCUGUGAUCAGAUCUGUGAAAACAAUUUUGGAGUUGCCCAUUGCAUGUGCCAUCCAGGAUUUGGGAAAACUCAAGAUGGAAAAACCUGCCGUGCUUCAAAUGUUUCCAACACAACAAGAGGAAGUGUCUCUGCGCACAAGGAGGUAGUGCCAAAGCCAACACCAGAGACCUUACCCCAUAGCACACAAAGCGGUGGGAUAUUCAAGAAUAUAGAGAGUGCAGAAAAGGAAAAAAUGAGCAUUUUGUUGAUGGCUGAAAUAAUGGUAUCAGAUCAAGAUGACUGCACUGCACUAGAAUGUGAUGUCAAUGCACAGUGUGUUUUGCUGGAAGAUGGUGCUAUGUGCCAGUGUUUGAAAGGAUUUACCAGGAAGGGGAAAUCAUGCUAUGAUGUUGAUGAGUGUGCUAUAAAUAUAGACCACUGUAAUCGAAACGUGUCAAGCUGUAUCAAUACAGAAGGGGGCUACGUCUGUAAAUGUUUGGAGGGCUACAUGGGAGACGGAGUCCAUUGCUACGAUAUUGAUGAGUGCAAGAUGGGAUCCCAUACCUGUGGAGAGAACAGAACCUGCACAAAUACAGAAGGAAACUUCACUUGCUCAUGUACUGACGAUGCUUUUGGAACUGGCAUUGGCUGCAAAGCUACUGUGUCCCCUGCUGUUGUCAGCAAUGAAUACUCUACACACCCUGUGCAAGGUGACUCUGCAGGGUGCCCUCCUUCCUAUGAGUCGUAUUGUCUCCAUGGCGGAGUGUGCAAUUAUGUUUCUGAUCUACAAGACUAUGCCUGCAACUGUGUGACGGGCUAUGUUGGGGAGCGGUGCCAGUUCAGCGAUCUGGAGUGGUGGGAGCAGCAGCAGGUGGAGCGGGUGAAGAUGCGGAACGUCACCAUUGCCGUGUGCGUAGCUGUGCUGGUCCUUCUCCUCCUGCUGGGGUUCCUGGCUGCCUACUGCCACAGCUUUUGUUCUGUUGUAGAAGUCAAAACUUGUAUAAGAAGAAUCUCUAUGCAGAAGCGAUAAGAGAUGCCAGCAGCCGCGCUGACAAUGAGAACGUGACACCUACCAGCAACAAGUUUCGGUUUGCAGUUGUUAAGGAGUGUAACAGUCCUCUGGAGACUAAAGCAGUUGAUUUAAUUGGGUGUGAGACAACAGAUCCUCAUCCUGCCUGUCCUUCAGAAUAUGUGGAAGAACAGCCGAUAAUAUACAACAAAGCAGCAGAGGCUUUGGCAGAAGAUGAGCAAGAACAAAGCUAUCGACAAGAGGUUCUUGGUGGAGAGAACUUGUGUCAGCCCACGGGGGCAGCGAAGGUCCCUCCCCAGGCUCCCUGGAGCAUCUACCCCAAGUCCCCUGUGGAAAGGGAGAGUUGCGAGCUUGGCCCGGCCAGCCUGCUCAUGCAGCCAGACUAGAGGCAGCCUGGGUUUGAGUUGGAAAAGGAGGAAGAAUGAAAUCAGUAGAGGAUGGGAACUCAUGAAACACUGAAGCAACCCUCAUUUUUUUCAUUAAAAUCUGCUUUAGAGAAAACAAACAAACAAACAAAACCACAAAUCAGAACAGAGAAGUCCUUGCCACUCCUUCCCUGUCAUCUCUGCUUGGAAGAAUUACUGUGAGUAGUGUAUUAACAAUGAGUACUCUAUAAGUAUCACUUUGAGGGUCACUGCUGCUAACUUCUUUAACUGCCUGCUAAAAGGACACUGAGGGAAAAACAGGCUAGCGGGUGAUUUGUCAGACUUGUUUUUAAUGGAGUUCAUUGCAAGUAGUGAUCUUUACACAUACACGGAGUCCAGAGAACUGCCACAACCACAACUACAGAGAAACUGGAAUGGAAGAUCAUACAGGAAAAGGAGUUAAAAAUGAAUCUUUUUACUAAAAUAUUGUUCAUGGACCCUUUAAGCCUCUUCCCAGCAUUGCUCUCAGGCCAGUGUGGCUUCUUGGACUUUCACCAGAGAUAUUCUUGUAUCUGCUUCUCUAAAUGAGCACCAAAUGGGGUCUUGCAUUUCUCAGGUUUGGUGGGCUGGAGGAUUGUGAGCAUAUGGUAUUAAUGAUGGUCACAUCUGUUAAGUGAGAGGUUACAUUUGAGAGGAAAGGUGAUUCUUCCAUUAAAUUUUCCAGUCUACAUUAGUCCUUCAGAGCAUUACAGGAUUGUUUCUGCUCUGCUCACUGCAAGGAAGCACGUUCUGGAGAUGUUCUUGCCUCACAGAAGCACAACUGGCAGCAAAACCUGGUCCAUUAUAUAGGACUUGGUGUGGAGAAAGAAGUCCAUUCAGUCACUGCUCCAAAGGAACAGGAGGACUGGGACAAACAGAAACCACAUCAGUUUGGACAGACUUCAACAUAACUGAUUUGUGCUGCCUGAUAAAAUACGUGGGAUCAAUUGGAAAACACUACCACACUUUUUUUUUUUUUUUUUUAACUGCUUUCUAACAGCUACAGUUCCCUUCCAGUUAUUUACUAAGAACUAACUCAUAAUGCUCUGUUGUACACAGAGUUGUAGAUUAGUUGUUUAUCAUCUCGAGGGAUUUUCACCACUAGUCUUGACUCCUGAAGGGUGUUCUCAGAAGGUUUUGGAAGAUAUCUGUAAAACAGUGAUAUUACUAAUAAAGUGUUAAUUGUAGGGGAUCUCUCAAUCUUCUGUCUUUGAAGCAUACUACUGUAACUAUCAGGCACCUUUAAAUUCCACUACAGAACCCACCACUAGUGUUCCUUGUAAUUAAUUAGCUGAAUAAUAGUGGCAAAUGUUAUUAAUUUGUGUGCCUAACAUCCUGCUUUUGGGGUUUUUAGAAUUCUGCCAGGAAGGUCUGGGAUGUUGUCAUUUGGUUACCAGGUCUGUAGUCUAAUGAUGAGAAAGUGUGUUGAAAGGCUCUUCUUGUCCAAAACAGUUAUGCACUUGAGUAACUUUGCAGAGUCAGUUCUGAUUUAUGUUGGUAUAAACAGUAAGAAUGUUGAGCCCAAGUUGUCUGAAUUACCAUAAACAUAAUGCUCUGUUGUCUUGAGAGUUGUCACUUAUUCAUCUUCUGAAGUGAUUUUUGCUAGAGGUUUUGAAUUGCUGAGUCUGUUUUCUAGUCACAUCAGUUCUGAAUUCAUGGUGAACAUGUAAAACAGGCAUUUUCACAAGUUAGUUGGAGCCAGUAGCAAUGAAGAUGCCUUCUCUUGUGUGAAUGACAACAAGGCUGCUUCCAUGGAAAGAGAAGUGGUUGAGGAGGGCUGGCAUACUAAACUGUGUUCAGCAGAGAGCAACCACUGGGAUGAACCAUUAGUAUUUGGUAGAUUUUGUUGUAAAUUUAGUAUAAUUUAAUUGAAUUAACGCUGUCAAAGGCAUCUAGUUUGGAUUCCCUGAUUUUUCACAGGUCAUCAUUGAUGUUGUGUAUUUUGAUGGGAAGAGAGUCCAGCUAUAAAGGCCCUGAUUCAGUAAAGCAUUUUAUCUCCACGAGAGCUAGACAGUAAAAUGACUUUGAUCCCUGCACUUCGAUUAUCUCUGGUGAAAUAUGUUUGUGUGCUUAAAAUCUGUGUUGUGUUGAAUGACAGUCAACAUUUAGUUGGAAGUUUCCCUGCUCAAAGAAAAUAAAGCUUUGUAACUUCA